UACGGAGGGUGCGAGCGUUGUCCGGAAUCACUGGGCGUAAAGGGCGCGUAGGCGGUCUGCUAAGCGUGUGGUGAAAGCUCGGGGCUCAACCCCGAGUCGGCCGUGCGAACUGGUGGACUGGAGCAUGUCAGAGGCAGGCGGAAUUCCGGGUGUAGCGGUGGAAUGCGUAGAGAUCCGGAAGAACACCGGUGGCGAAGGCGGCCUGCUGGGACAUUGCUGACGCUGAGGCGCGACAGCGUGGGGAGCAAACAGG
rnacentral:rRNA from 1 species